ACGGGUGCGUAACACGUGAACAAUCUGCCGAGAAGUGGGGGAUAGCUUGCCGAAAGGCAAAUUAAUACCGCAUAUGGCCAUCCUUCGAUUGGAGGAAAAGCCAAAGCCGCAAGGCGCUUCUUGAUGAGUUCGCGGCCUAUCAGCUAGAUGGCGGGGUAACGGCCCACCAUGGCUAUGACGGGUAGCUGGUCUGAGAGGACGACCAGCCACACUGGAACUGAGACACGGUCCAGACACCUACGGGUGGCAGCAGUCGAGAAUUUUUCACAAUGGGGGAAACCCUGAUGGAGCGACGCCGCGUGGAGGAUGAAGGCCUUCGGGUCGUAAACUCCUGUCAUGCGGGAACAAGAAAGUGAUAGUACCGCAAGAGGAAGAGACGGCUAACUCUGUGCCAGCAGCCGCGGUAAUACAGAGGUCUCAAGCGUUGUUCGGAUUCAUUGGGCGUAAAGGGUGCGUAGGUGGUGACGUAAGUCUAAUGUGAAAUCUCGGGGCUUAACCCCGAAAUUGCAUCGGAUACUGCGUGACUAGAGGAUUGUAGAGGAGAUUGGAAUUCACGGUGUAGCAGUGAAAUGCGUAGA
rnacentral:rRNA from 1 species